CGUUUCGGGAUCCAAUCAAUUACCUUCUUUCUUUCCGCCCAAAACAAAGGCCCUAAAUUGAUCACUCACGCGCCUCACAAUCCCCGAAUGGAAUCCACGUCGUGGUCAACAAAUUCAACGGCGUAGAUUGUUUUUGAAAAAUACAGUCAAGGAUUGAUGAGCAUGUUCUGGUGAUCGAGAAUCAUUCAACCUUCACGAUUAGGGCUUUAUUAGUGAAAAGGGAUUCUCUAUGAAUGAAUUCACUCUCUGGUUUCAAUGAUAUUCGACCCCGAACUAAGUGGGAAAGAUAAUUGAAAUUUCAUGAAGUCUGAUAGGUGGGAUGAUCCAACGUAGAAGUGUCUCUUUAGAUACGCUUAACCUGUUGUUUUCUUAGUUUUAUCAGGUUAAUAGCAGCAUCAUAAAUGUUAUCUACUUUGUAAAAGGGAGAGCAUCCUUGGUCAUAACAGUGAUCAUGUUGUAUGCCCAUAUUGAUAUGACUUAGCUUCUGUAGGUAGACAUGAGAUCUGCCCUGUUCAUGUCCCAUGAAAUAAGGCGUGGAUUGUCAUAGUAGUUCUUAAUGAAACACUAAGAAAACCUGUAGGUCUACUUCAUAAAUGUACAUAAAAUCAGUUGUGAGGCUUCUAGUUCCUGUAUGACUGGAUAGGAAGUUUAUUUAAUUAGUGCUUACCUUUGUUCUGGAGUUGUUGGUAUUCUGGGUUAAGGCAUGUCAAGGGUUGAGUUUGAAUCAAUCAAAGAAUUUUUACCCUCAGUAUGCUAAACUGUUAAACAAACUUUGUUAAUGAAGGAAUAUUACUAUAGUCUACAGAUUAGCAUAUAACUAAGCAAACAGAUGCAAAUUUCAAAGAAAGAUUGAGGGGAGAAGAAAAAACUGUCUUUUCCUUUCAGGGAGCCAUACCAUCACCCAUUCCGUGUUCAUUGGCGGUUGAUUAUGAUCUCAACUUGUGGCACAGAGAUGAUACUGGCUCUGUGAAGAUUUUCUCUAGUGGCUUUUCUAUACACAUCUCUCUCUCUCUAUAUAUAAAAACAGAAACUCUUAAAAUAAAAUAAAACGCUAAACCAAUCAACCCAUCCUCUUUAGAGUUCUUCAAAAUGCAAAAUUCACCACCUUCUAGUUUUCUCUGCAUUGCUAGAAACUAUUCUUUUUCUUUAGCUGUUGACUUGCUCUUCCUGCCUCUGUUUGAAGAGACAAUUCAAAUAUAUCAGGACCUGUUGUGGAUAGGAUCUGAUCCUCUCCGUACUCUUCUUUUGUUUGAUUGACUUCGAUCAAAUGUCUUGCUUGCAUGCGCUGAUUUCUUUGUGUCCAUUCCCUGCAUAUCAACAUCCUUAAGAACACGUUGGCUUUGUGGUGCUGUCCCUUGAGCUUUUUGGUUGUGCCUGAGGACCAGUUCUACACUCGUCAAGCCAUAAACUUUAUCAGGUUGAACUGCUAUGAACCCAAUACAUAUAAGAAGGAUAAGCACUCUAUGAGCACAAAAAACCAUUGUUUCUGCUUUGAACAAACAACAAGAGCAGAAGUAUGUUGUUUCUGUUUAGAGUAAUGAGAUGAUGAACAGGUCUGAGAAUGUGAGGUUUCUAUGGUAUGCUCCAUUCCUGUGGAUAUAGGUCUGUUAUUUAUCCCUUGUUGGAUUUGGAGGGCGCUUUAAAGCAAAAAAGCAGGGAGGGCCCCAGAACACCCACUGGGAUUUUUGAUUCACUCAAAUCAUAAGCCUGCAUUCUAAACAAUUUAAGGCUGUUAUGGAAGAAUCUGACAAUGAUGAAUAAAGGAGUUGGAACAAUACCCUUGAGAAGCCAAGUAUCUUUUUCCAUUUGUUCCCCCACGUCUCUAUCAUUUGUUCUGCUUUUGCUAUUGAAACAGGCCUACAACUCUCUUGAACUCUUUAACUGUCUGGCCACAUCAUCCGACCAUGCUUACUUGGACAUGCACUGGGGACUGAUAUUUAUUCGUAGCCAAUGGUCUUUCCAGCUCGGGUCUCAGCUUGGUUGAGCUCAGCUUGUGUGGAUGCCUUAACUACGUACUUUUGGGGCGUACUUUGAAGCAAGCUUUCUACGAAUAACAGGGUUUGCUGUUGCGGUUAUAAAUACAUAUUCUAAUGGUAUGAAGAUCUUUUAUGUAUGGGGGUGUUCUGGGAAAUUAUCAUUGCUUUGAUAUUAAGAAAAGGGGAGUUUUGUAUUUUAAGCAGGAGUGACUGGGCAGACAUAAGCCACGGGGCCACUAAGAACCAGUAGUAGAUUGCUACAGUGGAAAAUGCAAAGAAUCAAACAAGAGGGUGGAGAAUGAGGAAUAGAAGAGCCCCCAAAGAAACAAGCUCUUGCUUUAUGCCAUUCUAAGAUCUCCUCCUCACUUUAGAAUUCCAAGCUCUCUUCCCUAUGCAACAAAAAUAACAUUACCUGGUUUCUUGUGCAAAAUGUGUUUCUUUAUGCUUCUUUUCUUUGGGUUGCCAAGUACUUAAUCCCCCAUUCAAUGAUUCAGGAAGACCCACUUCAAGCCUUCCUCCCUCCCUCCCUCUCUGUGGAUUAAUUUGUAAUUUUUUCUCGUUUAUUUAUGAAGACCAUCUUUCCCUUUA